rfam:Streptomyces sp. CB02400 scaffold1, whole genome shotgun sequence.
CCUCGUGGAUCUGGCCGGGGCACAGGAAGUGCACGUGCGUGUCGACGCCGCCGGCGGUCAGGAUGCGUCCCUGGCCGGAGAUCACCUCCGUCUCGGGUCCCACGACGAAGGACGACGCGCGCGGGUCGGUGUUGCCGGGCGGCGUCAUGGUCUCGGGGUUGUACGCCUUGCCGAUCGCCUGGAUCCGGCCGUCGCGCAGCCCGACGUCGGCCUUGACCACGCCCCAGUGGUCCAGGAUCAGCGCCCCGGUGAUCACCGUGUCCACCGGCUUGCGCUCAUGGUCGCGCGGGAUGUGCGACUGCCCCAUGGACUCGCGGA